rnacentral:rRNA from 1 species
GACGAACGCUGGCGGCGUGCUUAACACAUGCAAGUCGAACGGAAAGGCCCUGCUUUUGUGGGGUGCUCGAGUGGCGAACGGGUGAGUAACACGUGAGUAACCUGCCCUUGACUUUGGGAUAACUUCAGGAAACUGGGGCUAAUACCGGAUAGGAGCUCCUGCUGCAUGGUGGGGGUUGGAAAGUUUCGGCGGUUGGGGAUGGACUCGCGGCUUAUCAGCUUGUUGGUGGGGUAGUGGCUUACCAAGGCUUUGACGGGUAGCCGGCCUGAGAGGGUGACCGGCCACAUUGGGACUGGGAUACGGCCCAGGCUCCUAAGGGAGGCAGGAGUGGGGAAUAUUGCACAAUGGGCGGAAGCGUGAUGCAGGAACGCCGCGUGCGGGAUGACGGCCUUCGGGUUGUAAACCGAUUUCGCCUGUGACGAAGCGUGAGUGACGGUAAUGGGUAAAGAAGCACCGGCUAACUACGU